AUCCUGCUGGUGAGUCCCAAAUAGGACGAAAGGCUUGUCUUGGAU
rnacentral:hammerhead_ribozyme from 1 species